rnacentral:rRNA from 1 species
GACGAACGCUGGCGGCGUGCUUAACACAUGCAAGUCGAACGGAAAGGCCCUUUCUGGGGUACACGAGUGGCGAACGGGUGAGUAACACGUGAGUAACCUGCCCACAACUAUGGGAUAACGCUAGGUAACUAGUGCAAAUACUGGCUAUGUGCUCAUGCUGCAUGGUGGGGGUUGGAAAGCUCCGGCGGUUGUGGAUGGACUGGCGGCCUAUCAGCUAGUUGGUGGGGUAGUGGCCUACCAAGGCGGCGACGGGUAGCCGGCCUGAGAGGGUGACCGGCCACAUUGGGUCUGAGAUACGGCCGAGACUCCUACGGGAGGCAGCAGUGGGGAAUAUUGCACAAUGGGCGCAAGCCUGAUGCAGCAACGCCGCGUGCGUGAUGACGGCCUGCGGGUUGUAUACCGCUUUCAGCAGGGACGAAGCUUUUAGUGCCGGUACCUGCAGAAGAAGCACCGGCUACUUCCUG